rnacentral:rRNA from 1 species
CCUACGGGGUGCACCAGUGGGGAAUAUUGCACAAUGGGCGCAAGCCUGAUGCAGCGACGCCGCGUGGGGGAUGACGGCCUUCGGGUUGUAAACCUCUUUCAGCAGGGAAGAAGCGAAAGUGACGGUACCUGCAGAAGAAGCGCCGGCUAACUACGUGCCAGCAGCCGCAGUAAUACGUAGGGCGCAAGCGUUGUCCGGAAUUAUUGGGCGUAAAGAGCUCGUAGGCGGUUUGUCGCGUCUGCUGUGAAAGCCCGGGGCUCAACCCCGGGUGUGCAGUGGGUACGGGCAGGCUGGAGUGCAGUAGGGGAGACUGGAAUUCCUGGUGUAGCGGUGAAAUACGCAGAUAUCAGGAGGAACACCGAUGGCGAAGGCAGGUCUCUGGGCUGUUACUGACGCUGAGGAGCGAAAGCAUGGGGAGCGAACAGGAUUAGAUACCCCCGUAGUC